GACAACCAAAGUUCUCGCUCGCGUCGCUCAGAAAAUGGAAGACGGUAGAAACCCUAGCCAACCAAAAUCCUCCUCCUCUCCCCAAUCCCGUGCCUCCCGUCCUCCCCCAAUCCCCGCCUCAUCUCAGCUCCUCCUCCUCGCUCCCGCCCCUUCGACUCCGCCAGUCGCCGAGUCGCCGCCGCCGCCGAGUUCUCCUCCCCCAACCCGCGCCGCCGCCUCUCCUCCUGACAUCCCGAUUGGCUCGUCCGCCUCCUUUCUUCUCCAAUCGGGCACGUCCUCUCCUCCCCAAUCCGCCGCCUCCUCUUCUCCAAUCCGCCGCUCAUCUCGUUUGCCCUCCACGAGACGAUUCUGCCAUGCGGAGGAGGCAGGCUCGAAGCAGGAGGUGGGGGACAGAGGUGGGAAGUGGGGAACGGAGGCAGGUGGAGGCUACAGGAUGACCUCGGUUCCGGCCGCAUUCCCUCGGCCAUGACCUCCCCUCCUCCUCUACAAUCUCGAGCCGCCGCCGCCACCGCCGUCGUGCCUCCUGGUGCCCUUCCUCCUCCCCUGUUCUCGACCCCUCGAGCCGCCGUUCGUUGUCGACGAUUGGAGGCGCGAGAUUACCUAGGUCAGAGCGACGAGACGACUCAUGGGAGCUGGCCGCGCGUGUGCAACUUGUCCACCUGCCCGUCCCCCACAUCCCUCGUCUUUUUCUCCAUCAGGCAGGACCAUAUGUUGUGUGAAGCAAAUAAGUGCCUCAGAAGAAAAGUAAGUUACAAGAUUAAUAAUGUUGGUAGUUUAGCAUGCAUCUGGUUUUCUUGUUUUGAAGCGAAAGCCAUAUAUAUGUGCUUAUUUCUGGAUGUACCUGUUCCUAACCUAUGAACUAUAAAAUGUUCCACAACACCAUACGUAUGUGUCGGCUGGUAGUUGGCACAACGACGCCAGCGUGAGCUUUGGCCCCUUCUUCAUAAGACAUUGGUUAAAUUCAGUUCCACGAGGUCUUCUAUCUGAAUUACAAGUUUAAGCCCAUGAGAGUGAAUAAUGUAUGUUGAUCUUGGAUCUAAUUUCACUCAAUUUGUUGGUUAGAUGACGACAGCAGCAAUGUCGCUAACGGAUCCCUCAAGCAGGUCACAUCUAGGUCUCCGUUCUUUAUUGCUGAGUGCUAUCUCCGGAUGAUCUCUUCCGGUGAUUAUUUUCUUGUUUUCUCUCCAUGUAGGCUCUGACGAUCCCUGGAUCUGUUUUGUCAUGGAAUAUUUUCUUAUUGUACUUGCUUAUUUACUCCAGCGCUAUCAUUGAGUAAAUGUUUGAUUUUAUUUAUUUAUUUCAGUUCAUGCCUGUAUCUUUUGGUGGCAUUCCAAUUGAUGCAUAGAGUGAUACUUUUGUAUGAAUGAAUGAGUGUAGAUGUAUGCAGUUGUUUAUGCACAUGCCUGGGAUUCAGUGUUGGGUAGAUCAAUUAUUCUUUCUUGUUCGUGGUAUGUUUGAUUGAAGUUACUGAAGUUGCUUCAUGGUUUACUAGCAGAGCAUGUUGUAACAUAAUUAGUAACUGUUGGCACUUUCAUGGACCCAUUAGAGUGAAACAGCCAAGAACUUCGAUGUAAUGGCGGCCCGGCGUGGAAGGAAGCAAGAAGGAAGGGCCAAUAUUUUCCAGGUCCCAUACACAAAUCGUCAGGGACACAAUCAUCUUCUGCAGUCAAGCAAGUAAGCACACUUGCUGUCUAAAGAAAUUAGUAAUGUUCAAUUGAUCGGUUGUUUACCCGAAAUUGGGAUGCUUUCCUAUUUUGUAUUUAGUGGGUUGCCUGGUUUGGGCAGAGUCCAAUGGAACCUCCAGUUUGGAGCUUGAUGCCAGUUCUCCAAUGGCUUGCUUGUUUGGAAUUCAAAGUGUGCCAUGGAUAGACCCCUGACACGUUUGAGUCUCUUAGUCAGAGGAAAGCUCCUGAUAUUGUUAUACUUAGAUACAGUAGAAACAGUAGAUAAGAACUAUUUCAAAUGCAGCAUUGGUGCAGAAAAGUGGUCUCUAUAGCAUAAAUUAGUUCCUGACAAGUUGCAAAGCUUGUACAACAAUGCUACAGACUGGUUAGCUACGUUCUUGUUUUCUUUCCAUCGCUGUACUCUCUCUUCUAUCUGUGCACUUCGUUUGAGAUAGUGGGUCAGGUUUUCCGAUCUGGUUCUAAUGAAGAUUUGUGUUUGACUAAUUCUUAUAAAUGUUUGAAAUCAUUUUCAUUUCACCUAAUUCUUAUAUUUUGUUAUCUCACGAUUCAUGCUACUGUCAAAAAAAUAUAGUUCGAAAUUUAAAUAAGCAAUUAUUUUUUUGAAAUGGGAUAAGCAAAUUUAGAAGAGGUUGGCGUGGUUUAUAUAGCUUCUGGGCAGACAUUGAGGUUUAUUUUACACAUCAGAGGGAUUUUCUAUAAUACAAUCUGCUCUUGAUACCAUGAAGGCACCAUUGGCAAGUCAAUCUUUUAACUAUAGUGCAAAUUUAGCUGUUUCUAUUAUUGACCCUCCUCUGACUUCUACUAAUUGGUCAAGUCACUCAAAUGCAUGCAUGUUUAAGGGAGCUGGCACAUUUUCUUGUUGAGCACAUUGGUUUUGUUGAUGAACAUGUACGGCCAGGUUUACGCAGAUUGAGAGGACAGUCGUCGGCUGUCAGCAUCAAGUCGCGAUGUGCUUCUGGUUGCACCUCCUUGUGUAGUUGUGUGAGCUCCCCCUUCCUAUCCCUUGCCCCUAAGUGCGGAGAUUCCUAUACUGAUUUCAUGUUUCUAUUUCCUUGCAUCAAAAUUAGAUAUUGCAUUUUCCUUUUGUAAAUAUUUGUUGGUUUGGCUUCCCUAAAUUGAGUCUAUUUUAGCCACAUCUGCCUCUUGAGCUCACUGGUUUUGUUUUGGAACAUGUAUGAAAAGGUUUACACAAGUUGAGAGGGGAGUCUUUGGCGGCCAGCAUUGAGCCGCGCUGUGCUUCUUGCUGCACCUACUUGUGAUUGGCUGUUGUUUUUCAUCUUUGGCAUGGAUUUGAGCAAAGGGAAGAGUCACACGAAUUUGAGUCUUCUAUUUUGUAGCUAGGGUUUCAGUGUACAGAAGAUUCUUACCAAUGGGGAUAACAAGCAGCAUGUGUGUUCAUAUUGUAUAUGGCUGUAGGUAGGGAAGCCCAGUGGAGGGUGGAUGCCGGAGCUUGGCGUGAGUUCUUGUGAUGGCAUGGUGAGAGAAGGAAAAGGAUAAAGGACAUGCUCUGGCCUUAUAGAAGCUGGUGACUAGCAAUAAACUAUGAAGAAUGUUUAGUUAUGUGCAGUUUGAGUUGACUGAAAUCAAUGACAAUUUGAGACUUCAAUAAAUAAUUCAAAAUCAAUGGCUCCAAGGACGGACAAUUUUGUAGGUGAUGAUUUAGUUAUACAAGCUGGAGAUUCCGAGUGGCCGUUUUUUCAUGUUCAUACUUUUGUAGAUUGUUUUUUGACGGCCAAUAUAGAAUUACUAAUUCAAAAUUAGAGAAACAUUUGAUUUUUAGUGAUCAAGAAUUACAAAAAUUAGAGAACCAUUGGUGCGUUGAAUGGGUGUUAAUCACUUGUAUUCCAAUACAAUGGUUAGUGUCUGCUUUGAUAAUGUUUGACUUGAUAAUAUUUGUAUUCCAUCUUACCUUUCCCUGUAAACUGCCAGAUAAUGAUGUUCCUUGGUUCAGAUCUCAUCCCUGGCUUAGAUCUCUGCCGUUGGGUGGCGCCUCCGCCGGCUGCAUCCGUCUAUCCAUCACACGUCUCCGUUGGAGGCUACCGAUUCCUGCCAUGGCCUCUUCUCCACGGAAAGGCCAGCUAGCACUCGACUUGCCUUCUGGUGAUGUGCAAGGUUACCACCGAGGCACCUUCUUUGCUUCAGAGGCUUCUUGUGCUGCUGGUGGUUUCCGUUUCUUGCCUGCUCACCCACUGCA